ensembl:snRNA Gm26264 U1 spliceosomal RNA
AUACUUACCUGGCAGGGGAGAUAUCAUGAUCAUGAAGGUGGUUUUCCCAGGGUGAGGCUUAUCCAUUGCUUAUCCGGAUGUGCUGACACCUGCGAUUUCCCCAAAUGCGGGAGACUGCAUAAUUUGUGGUAGUGGGGGACUACAUUCACACUCUCUCCCG